rnacentral:rRNA from 1 species
GACGAACGCUGGAGGCGUGCUUAACACAUGCAAGUCGAACGAUGAAGUGGAGCUUGCUCCACGGAUUAGUGGCGAACGGGUGAGUAACACGUGAAUAACCUGCCCUCAAUUUCGGAAUAACCCAGGGAAACCUGGGCUAAUACCGGAUACGUAAACCUGUGGCAUCACAUGGUUUUGGAAAGUUUUUCGAUUGAGGAUGGAUUCGCGGCCUAUCAGCUUGUUGGUGAGGUAAUGGCUCACCAAGGCGACGACGGGUAGCCGGCCUGAGAGGGUGGACGGCCACACUGGGACUGAGACACGGCCCAGACUCCUACGGGAGGCAGCAGUGGGGAAUAUUGCGCAAUGGACGAAAGUCUGACGCAGCGACGCCUCGUGAGGGACGAAGGUCUUCGGAUUGUAAACCUCUUUCAGCAGGGACGAAGCGAAAGUGACGGUACCUGCAGAAGAAGCACCGGCUAACUAUGU